AGUCGAAAAUACUGAAUAAUUAAACAAACCAAAUGGCAUCACUGGUGGUUCUUUUUUCCACUCCGCUAAACUGUCAUCUCAAACAAAAACAAAUGGAUCAUACAACUGCUAUGAAUACAUUCGACUCGUUUGCUUCCAUCAAUCGCAGUAACCUUCAACCCCUGUUGGCAAUGCCGGGGGACAGCAUCAACAGCAGCAGCAGCAGAAUUUGACCAUGGUAUGGUAUUGCGAAGAACUUUCCCCAUUAGAGGUUCCGUGCUUCGCGCACAUUCAAAAUCCUCUUCAGACACGAAAACUCAACGACAAGGAGGUAUUUAUCAACUUGCUCAGCUGAAUUACCACCCGGAGGAACCCGAAUGCACUGAUUCCGUUGUAUAGUAGAAUGAAAAUAGGCGAGGUAAGCGAACGUAAUCGCAUGAUAUUUUAAUAGUUCGCAUUUUUAUCCGGAUCAUACAACUGCUAUGAAUACAUCCGACUCAAUCAAUCGGCGAGUGAGAAAGAUGAUUUCCCUCAUCACCACAUUGCUUAUUUCCACUUCUGUCACGCCAGCCAACAGCAUCAGCUUUCCCGCAGCAGUAUCCUUUAAGUCCAGGGUGCUAUUCCGGGCAACAGCAUCAUCAGUAACAGCAGCAGGACCUGGCCAUCGAUAGUAUUUCGAGCAAUUUUCCCCAUCGGAGAUCCCGUGCUUCACGCACAUUGAAGAAACCUCCUCAGCCACAUAUGUGUGUCAAGGAGAAAAAGGAGCUGGAUUCGAAUCGUCAAUCCAGACAACCCGAAUGCACCGAUUGCAUUAUAUAUCUUGUUUAUAUUUUAUAUGCAUUUUGUGUUUUUUUGAAUAAAAUGAUUAAAAUCGA